ensembl:lncRNA
GCCCUCGGGCGCAGCGCGCAGCGUCGGGCUCCCUCCGAGCCUCCGCCCGGGCCGCCCGCGCCGAGCGCCCGGCCGCCGCCCUCUCCGCCUUUCCCCGCGUCCCCCGCCAGCCCGCCCUCGGGAUCUCAGCGCUCCGCUGCGCUCGGGCCGCAGGUGCCCCGCGGCGCGCCGGCCUGCUGGGGUCACGUGCUUCCCGGGCCCCGCAGGUCGCGGACCCCUCGCGCGCUGCCCGGGGCUCCAACGUGCCACGUGAAGCGCUCCCGCUCCGCUGCCCCGGGGCGCACGCCGCGCGGGCCGGGUCAUGUGUCUUUCCCGGGAGGUCCCGGUGAGCCGCCGCCCCUGGGCGCCUCGUGCCGCCGCGGGGCAGGGACCGCAGGCGCCCGGCGGCGUCAACUUCCUAGGACGGCACGUGCCAUGCCAGGUGCCUUUCCCUCCAAGUCCCAGAGUCCGCGAGGCCCAGCUGCCCGCACCCCCGGCCGACGCGGGGCACUCGGACUGGGCCCUGGGGUCCUGAGCCGCCUGAGAGCGACGCCUCGCCUCGGAAUGGUGGUGAAGAAUCUGCCUGCCGGUGCAGGAGACACAGGUUUGAUCCCUCGUCUGGGAAGAUCCUACAUGCUGCAGAGCAGCUAAGCCCGUGGGCCACGACUCCUGAGCCUGUGCUCUAGAGCCUGGGAGCCGCAGUGACUGAGCCCACAUGCCACACUACUGAAGCCCGCAUGCCCUAGAGCCCCUGUUCAAGAGCAAGAAAAGCCACCUUAGAAGCCUGUCUACCACAACUAGAGAGAAGCCGAUGCAACGAUGAAGAGCCAGCACAGCCAAAAAUCAGUAAAUUAUAAAAAAUAUGAAUCCUCUCUUUAAAUUUGUGUGUUAAUUACAGGUCUGUUGUAUUCUUUUUUUGGGGUGGUGCUCAUGGUAAAACAUGUGUAAUAUAAAGGUUGCCAU